rnacentral:rRNA from 1 species
GACGAACGCUGGCGGCGUGCUUAACACAUGCAAGUCAAACGGAAAGGCCCUGCUUUUGUGGGGUGCUCGAGUGGCGAACGGGUGAGUAACACGUGAGUAGCCUGCCCUUGACUUUGGGAUAACUUCAGGAAACUGGGGCUAAUACCGGAUAGGAGCUCCUGCUGCAUGGUGGGGGUUGGAAAGUUUCGGCGGUUGGGGAUGGACUCGCGGCUUAUCAGCUUGUUGGUGGGGUAGUGGCUUACCAAGGCUUUGACGGGUAGCCGGCCUGAGAGGGUGACCGGCCACAUUGGGACUGAGAUACGGCCCAGACUCCUACGGGAGGCAGCAGUGGGGAAUAUUGCACAAUGGGCGGAAGCCUGAUGCAGCAACGCCGCGUGCGGGAUGACGGCCUUCGGGUUGUAAACCGCUUUCGCCUGUGACGAAGCGUGAGUGACGGUAAUGGGUAAAGAAGCACCGGCUAACUACGUG